rnacentral:rRNA from 1 species
GGGUCAGUAGGUUGGUCGUGCCACCGGUACGUACUGGCCUCACUGAUUCCUCCUUCCUGAAGAACCGUAAUGCCAUUAAUUUGGUGUUGCGGGGAAACAGGACUGUUACUUUGAAAAAAUUAGAGUGUUUAAAGCAAGCUAACGCUUGAAUGCAUUAGCAUGGAAUAAUGAAAUAGGACGAUCGAUCCUAUUUUGUUGGUUUCUAGGAUUGACGUA